rnacentral:rRNA from 1 species
GUCGAGAAUCAUUCGCAAUGGGCGCAAGCCUGACGAUGCGACGCUGCGUGGAGGAUGACGGCCUUCGGGUUGUAAACUCCUGUCAUUCGGGAACAAUAUCCGGGGGGCGAAUAGCCCUUCGGCUCGCUAGUACCGGAAGAGGAAGCCACGGCUAACUCUGUGCCAGCAGCCGCGGUAAGACAGAGGUGGCAAGCGUUGUUCGGAUUUACUGGGCUUAAAGGGCGCGUAGGCGGCCCUGCAUGUCGGAUGUGAAAUCUCGCCGCUCAACGGCGGAACGUCAUUCGAAACUGCGGGGCUAGAGUGCAGGAGAGGAGAGCGGAAUUCUUGGUGUAGCGGUGAAAUGCGUUGAUAUCAAGAAGAACACCGGUGGCGAAGGCGGCUCUCUGGAAUGCAACUGACGCUGAGGCACGAAAGCGUGGGGAGCAAACAGGAUUAGAAACCCCUGUAGUCC